CUCAAAUUGGAAAAAAAAAUAAAUUUAUUAGAAAACACAUUGGGGCACCAAUUGGUGCGCACAAAUAGGCUCGGGUCCAGUAUGAAUCAUUCAAGACAAGGACAAAGCAUUCAAUCGUGUCUCUUUAAGCAAUCACAUCAAGAUCGAAUAAAGUAUCGAAUUCGUUUGAAUGCAUCAAUUGAUUGUGUUCGAUUUCUUCUACAACAAGAGAUGGCCUUUCAUGGACAUGAUGGAUUUGAAGAUUUAAACAAUCGAGGGAACUUUCUUGAACUAUUACAUUGGUUGUGUGAUCAUAAUGCUGAGAUUGCACCUGAAAAAUCACAAAUUGACAUCACCACGAGUUCAGAAAGACAUUGUAACUGCUAUCACUUUUGCAACUCUAAAUGUGAUUAUCAAAGACAUGGGGAAUUGCUUGUUUUCUAUUAUAGUUGAUGAAUCUUGAGACAUAUUAGUGAAGGAGCAAAUGUCAGUUGUCAUUCACUAUAUGAAGAAUGGGCAUGUCUUGGAACAUUUUAUUGGUGUUACGUAUGUUUUGAGUACCACAACUGUUGCACUUAAGACUGCAAUUGAUCAAUUAUUCUCCACGCAUAGCUUAAGUAUAUUUAAUUUGAGAUGCCAAGGAUAUGAUGGAGAGUGUCAAAUCACUUAUUUAGAAUGAAAAUACAAGUGCUUACUACAUUCAUUGUUUUGCUCUUCAACUUCAACUAGCAUUUGUAGCUGUGGCACAAAAGCAUCUAAAAAUUAAAGCUUUCUUCACUUCGGUACAUUGAUUGGUGAAUAUUGUUGGAGGAUCGGCUCAGCAAAGUGAUCUUAUUCGAGAGAAACAAAGACUCGAAAUUCUUGAAGCACUUAGUGUUGGUGAAAUAUCAAGUGGACGAGGUCUCAACCAAGAAACUACUCUUAAGCGUUCUGGUGAUACUUGUUGGUGGCUAUUAUUACAGUUGUUUGAUUAACAUGAUUCUCAUGUUUUCAGCCAUCGUUGAUGUUGUUGAGGCGAUUGCUACUGAUAUACAAGUUCUAGAGCAAGAGGUGAUGCAAAUAUUUUAUUGGAGACAAUGUUAAAAUCUGAAUUUGCAUUUAUUCUAUAUCUUAUGAAAAAGAUCUCGAGAAUUUCAAAUGAAUUGUCAAAAGCAUUACAAAGAAAAGAUCAAGAUAUUGUCAAUGCCAUGAAAUUGGUUAAAUUAUGUAAAGUAUAGAUUCAAAUCAUGAAGGAUGAUGGAUGUGAUUCUUUUUUUGGAAUGG
rnacentral:lncRNA from 1 species